rnacentral:rRNA from 1 species
CUACGGGUCGCAGCAGUGGGGAAUAUUGGACAAUGGGGGAAACCCUGAUCCAGCAAUGCCGCGUGUGUGAAGAAGGCCUGCGGGUUGUAAAGCACUUUCGGUUGGGAGGACUGCUUCUAGCACUAAUAUUGUUGGAAGUUGACGUUACCUUCAGAAGAAGCACCGGCUAACUCCGUGCCAGCAGCCGCGGUAAUACGGAGAGUGCAAGCGUUAAUCGGAAUUACUGGGCGUAAAGCGCGCGUAGGCGGCUAGAUCAGUCGGGUGUGAAAGCCCCGGGCUUAACCUGGGAACGGCAUCCGAUACUGUCUAGCUUGAGUACAGGAGAGGAGAGUGGAAUUCCACAUGUAGCGGUGAAAUGCGUAGAUAUGUGGAGGAACACCAAUGGCGAAGGCAGCUCUCUGGCCUGAUACUGACGCUGAGGUGCGAAAGCGUGGGGAGCAAACAGGAUUAGAUACCCCAGUAGUC